UCUCAGUUCGGAUUGUAGUCUGCAACUCGACUACAUGAAGCUGGAAUCGCUAGUAAUCGUAGAUCAGCAUGCUACGGUGAAUACGUUCCCGGGUCUUGUACACACCGCCCGUCACACCACGAGAGUUUGUAACACCCGAAGCCGGUGGAGUAACCUUUUAGGAGCUAGCCGUCGAAGGUGGGACAAAUGAUUGGGGUGAAGUCGUAACAAGGUAGCCGUAUCGGAAGGUGCGGCUGGAUCACCUCCUUUCUAAGGA
rnacentral:rRNA from 1 species